rnacentral:lncRNA from 1 species
AAGUUUUAAUUCAAAUUUGCCUAUUUUUCAUAUUUCGUCAGUUUCAUUGACAAACAAAAUAAGAGAUGGAGCGAGUGAACAAGUUGAAUAAUAUAAACCUGAGUGCCAUUUCAGCCUAAACGAACGACUCGGGGCUCAUGGGGCCAGGCGGGCUACUUUUUCAUCCAGCGCGGAGUCAACAAGUGCAAAAUCGAGCAAUAUCCAGCGGUCAUCAUAUCUGUCAUUCGAUAUUUUGUUGACCGAUUCAAAUUCACAAUAUUAAAUAAUUAGUCAUGUUUCUCAAUAAAUCUCACAAUUUGACAGACGACCGCUGAAUUGAAUCAAUAUUGUGGAGAAGCCUCCAAUACCCUCCAAUACAAUUCCAUCAUUGGAGUGGCACAUAACCAUUAACAUGGGAGGUCGAGCACUCCCUACCAGCUUAAGACUACCGCGCCGAUAAUUGUUUGAUGCCCGUAAAAGACCAAGGACAGGAGCGGAGUCUACAAGCAAUGCGACUAAUCGGGAAUCAAUCACGCCAUGGUCGUCAUCGGCUGAUGGGCAACAACGACCAGCAAUCGAAUCGACUAAACUGGAUCGUAUCCGGAAUUCAUGUUGGGGAACCGGAAGGGGCCUGUCUGGUUACAUUCUGAUGCAGCGCGGAGUCAACAGGUGUAGGCCUAAUAGCAUCGAGAAAUAUCCCGCUUACGUUAUAGCAGCCUAAAGAACGCUAACAGCUCUAUAUACAGUUUAUUCCUACGCCUUUUAUAGGCUAUUAAUAUCUUUAACUAAAUCUGUGAUCAAACGCAUUCCGAUCAAACCAUAAUGGACCGAUAAAAGUGCAACGAAAUGAAAUUUGAAAAUUGAUACCGAUUUCCAUUACUUUUGACUUCAUACAAGUCAAGACGUAAUUAAGCGAAUGGCCAGGAUUUAAAAAAAUAAUAAUAAUUAAGUUGAGCUGGCACAGCGUCAAUCAAAUUAAAUUAUUCGAAUGGAAUAUCCAACGGCAAACGCAUUUAUGAAAGCAGAGUAGAAAUUCGCCCUCAUUGUGACAAAAAACUGACAGACCAAAUUUAGCGCAACCGAAAGGAGCGAGUGGAAAAUGAACGAAAAAAAACCAGACAGGUAAGUGACUGAAGGUCGACGUUUUACCCUUUUUUUAUUAUUCAGACACCCUCUGCACGUGCACACUUGUCUCUCCCGGAUGUGAAUUAUAUACGUGUAGAGAUCCCGGAUCCACCAAACACGCACGAUAUGACGGGGGGGCGAAAUCGAAACGCGGCUCCAUUUAUCGCAAGUGUUUUUUCGUUUUUCAAAUAGGUCGCGUACAAAAUAGUCAUAAAAUAAAGAGUCGAUUCAGUUUCGUGCGUCACGAAUGUGUUUCACAUGUGAGAGACGAAAGAAAAAAAAAUGCCGACUAAAUGCUGGCUGGGACAACCGAUGAUGAUUAAGAUCUGCGGGACGAUAUAGACAGAACUGAAAUGCACGGUCUCCAUAUUAUCCAGCAACGGGAGUAUCACAAUUUUAGGGGGAGCCUUGAUACAACAGAUGCGCGAUACUAUGGGUUUGAGGGAAAACAAAAAAACCUUGGGAGUGAAUAAGGUAUAACGGGAGACGAGUAGAAGUAUAUACCCUUUCCAUAAGCCAGUGACAACGAACAUAAGCCGGCCUUGGCUAUUAGAUGCAAUAGAUUACAUCAAACGGGCGGGGACGCCGAAAAAAAAACACGAAGGGGGAUUGUCAAUAAUGCACACGAAUGAUGUGCCAAAAUGGGGGGGAGGUAAGACAAACAGCGAGAGAAUAAAUGACUCCAUUUUGGCUAUAAAACAAAGAGACGACGCUAUGUGCUCUGCAUUCGAGCUGUGGUGUUCACUUCUCUUCCCCGACCCAAUCUGCAGUGCAUAUCGCAAUUUUAUUUUUAUAUCGUCAUGAAAAACGAUUAUCCCGUCUGCGUUUGCUGCCUGGCCCACUGCAUUUACUGCCAUCCACGAGAAAACUCACCCAAGAACUAAAGUUAUUCCAACUGAAUAAAGUUUACUUUUAAAUGAAUUAAUGUUCCCUAUGUGUGAUUGUCCUCCACAAUGUGUUCGAUGGCUCCAAAAUGUUCAAAAGAAAACUACAUAGCAUUCGCAAUAUCAGCACCUACUAGGUUUUCACUGCACCUAACUGUCUGAAAUGUAAUAAAAUUUCAUAUGUCCCCAUUGCACACUAUCUCUGCUAUGCUCUACCACAUCGAAAUAAGUUGAUUUUUGUAAAACAAGAAGUGAGAGAUGUGUUAUUGUUGUUG